CCCCCCCCCGGGCUGGGGCUGCCCCCCCCGUGGGCGGCCUGGCUGGGGGCGGAGCUGGGGGCGCUGGAGGAGACCCUGAGGGGGCUCAAGGAAAUGGAGGACCAGCACUGGCAGCUCUUCCUGGCCAAGCGCGGCCUCUUCACCUGAGCCCAGGAAAAUUCGCGACCCCCCCCCAAAAUUCGGAGCUGCAGUUCCUGGAGUUGCCGCCGGGGGGCGCCAAGCGCCGAGCCGGGUUUAUUGUGGGGAGGGGUCCCCAGCGCCCCCCCCCCGCCCUUUUUUAUUGUGGGGAGGGGUCCGUGCAGCCCCUCCCUGUUUUAUUUUGGGGAGGGGUCCCCACUGUGCCCCCCCCCCGCGCUGUUUGUUCUGUUUUUAUAAAUUUGCUGCGAUUUUUUACGAGUUUAUACACGGGGGGGGGGGAGAGACCCCUCCCCAUUUUACCGCUGGGGGUGGGGGGGGUGUUGUACAUAAAUUGGGGAGGGGGCGUGAGGAAAAGUUCCCCCCCCCCACCCCGCGCCCUCCGGUUUGGGUGGAAAACCAAAGAAUUUGGGAAAAUUCCGAAUAAAGUCGAUGUCGCUUCUG